GGCGACAUAGCCAAGUGGUUACGGCGCUGUGUUAAGGUUUCUUGUCCAAAGACAUCCGCAGUCCUUCGGGGCGUGGGUUCGAGUCCCACUGUCGUCA